UCUGGUGCCUCCUCCCAUUGGUCAGCAAGCAAGCUGGCUGCUCUGCUUCUGGGCUUAUUCACAGGAUGCUCCUCUCCACGCCCUGUGAUGCCAGGAAUCCAUGACUCGGCUUGAAGUCACAGAGCCAAAUGAGUGAGCAAAUGCCAGGGAGCCAAGGACUGGGCACCGCCUGUGUAUAGGCCAGGAGAGGCACCCUCCGAGAUGCCCCUGUCCAGGAUCCACAAGCCUUUACACCACUUGGGCCAUCUGGCCCUGGGACAAGGACAGGAACAGUUGCCAACAGGGCUGUGAAGUUGCCAAGUAGCACAAAGGUUCUGGCUGGGCAGGGAGGAGGAAGAAGCAGAUGUGUAGUAUGGAGGUGGUCAGCCCUCCUCCAGACAGAGGCUCUCACGCCCCAGGAGGGUGGGAGAAAUGCAAAUUCCUGGCCCUCCCAGCCCCGGAUUUGGAGGUAGUAGUUGCUUCCAGGAAUAGAGGGAAGAGGAAUAUAUUUCCAGAUCCCCAUCAAGCAGCUUCAAAACAAAACUUAAGCAGGUCAAGGUCCCUCCAGAACCAGCAGACGGCAGAGCAGUUACAUCGCUGGAUGCCCCCAUGGCCA